rnacentral:rRNA from 1 species
UACAGAGGGUGCAAGCGUUAAUCGGAAUUACUGGGCGUAAAGCGUGCGCAGACGGUUGCGUAAGUCAGAUGUGAAAGCCCCGGGCUCAACCUGGGAAUUGCAUUGGAUACUGGCAGGCUAGAGUGCGGUAGAGGGUAGUGGAAUUCCCGGUGUAGCAGUGAAAUGCGUAGAGAUCGGGAGGAACAUCUGUGGCGAAGGCGACUACCUGGACCAGCACUGACACUGAGGCACGAAAGCGUGGGGAGCAAACAGG